GAUGAACGCUAGCGGCAGGCUUAACACAUGCAAGUCGAGGGGCAGCAUAAUGGUAGUAAUACUAUUGAUGGCGACCGGCGGACGGGUGCGUAACGCGUAUGCAACCUACCCUUUACAGGGGGAUAACACUGAGAAAUCGGUACUAAUACCCCAUAAUAUUCUGGGAGGCAUCUUUCGGAGUUGAAAGCUUUGGUGGUAAAGGAUGGGCAUGCGUUGUAUUAGCUAGUUGGUAAGGUAACGGCUUACCAAGGCGACGAUACAUAGGGGGACUGAGAGGUUAACCCCCCACAUUGGUACUGAGACACGGACCAAACUCCUACGGGAGGCAGCAGUGAGGAAUAUUGGUCAAUGGACGGAAGUCUGAACCAGCCAUGCCGCGUGCAGGAAGACGGCUCUAUGAGUUGUAAACUGCUUUUGUACGAGGGUAAACGCAGAUACGUGUAUCUGCCUGAAAGUAUCGUACGAAUAAGGAUUGGCUAACUCCGUGCCAGCAGCCGCGGUAAUACGGAGGAUCCAAGCGUUAUCCGGAUUUAUUGGGUUUAAAGGGUGCGUAGGCGGUUUAGUAAGUCAGCGGUGAAAUUUUGGUGCUUAACACCAAACGUGCCGUUGAUACUGCUGGGCUAGGGAGUAGUUGCGGUAGGCGGAAUGUAUGGUGUAGCGGUGAAAUGCUUAGAGAUCAUACAGAACACCGAUUGCGAAGGCAGCUUACCAAACUAUAUCUGACGUUGAGGCACGAAAGCGUGGGGAGCAAACAGGAUUAGAUACCCUGGUAGUCCACGCAGUAAACGAUGAUAGCUCGUUGUCGGCGAUACACAGUCGGUGACUAAGAGAAAUCGAUAAGCUAUCCACCUGGGGAGUACGUUCGCAAGAAUGAAACUCAAAGGAAUUGACGGGGGCCCGCACAAGCGGAGGAACAUGUGGUUUAAUUCGAUGAUACGCGAGGAACCUUACCCGGGCUUGAAAGUUACUGACGAUUCUGGAAACAGGAUUUCCCUUCGGGGCAGGAAACUAGGUGCUGCAUGGUUGUCGUCAGCUCGUGCCGUGAGGUGUCGGGUUAAGUCCCAUAACGAGCGCAACCCCUACUGAUAGUUGCCAUCAG
rnacentral:rRNA from 1 species